GUCUUCAAUAAAAUACUAGCCUAACAAUUACAGCUUCAAGAAAACACUGUUACCAGCAGCAGCUUCUCUCAUCUGCAGGUGUCCAUACUGAAUCCAUAACCUUUGUGGUUUGGUCUGGGGAGGAUUUCCCAUAUGCAGAUGUUUGAUUCAAAUGUGGUGAGUGGUUUAAAUUGGGUCUCUUGAGGGAU